GCUCAACCGGGGAGGGUCAUUGGAAACUGGGGAACUUGAGUGCAGAAGAGGAGAGUGGAAUUCCACGUGUAGCGGUGAAAUGCGUAGAGAUGUGGAGGAACACCAGUGGCGAAGGCGACUCUCUGGUCUGUAACUGACGCUGAGGCGCGAAAGCGUGGGGAGCGAACAGGAUUAGAUACCCUGGUAGUCCACGCCGUAAACGAUGAGUGCUAAGUGUUAGAGGGUUUCCGCCCUUUAGUGCUGCAGCAAACGCAUUAAGCACUCCGCCUGGGGAGUACGGUCGCAAGACUGAAACUCAAAGGAAUUGACGGGGGCCCGCACAAGCGGUGGAGCAUGUGGUUUAAUUCGAAGCAACGCGAAGAACCUUACCAGGUCUUGACAUCCUCUGACAACCCUAGAGAUAGGGCUUCCCCUUCGGGGGCAGAGUGACAGGUGGUGCAUGGUUGUCGUCAGCUCGUGUCGUGAGAUGUUGGGUUAAGUCCCGCAACGAGCGCAACCCUUGAUCUUAGUUGCCAGCAUUCAGUUGGGCACUCUAAGGUGACUGCCGGUAACAAACCGGAGGAAGGUGGGGAUGACGUCAAAUCAUCAUGCCCCUUAUGACCUGGGCUACACACGUGCUACAAUGGGCAGAACAAAG
rnacentral:rRNA from 1 species